UACGUAUGGGGCGAGCGUUGUUCGGAAUCAUUGGGCGUAAAGGGCGCGUAGGCGGUUCGGGAAGCCUGGUGUGAAAGGCUACGGCUUAACCGUAGUUUUGCGCUGGGAACUGCCGAACUGGAGUUUAGGAGGGGAAGCCGGAAUUCCUGGUGUAGGGGUGAAAUCUGUAGAUAUCAGGAAGAACACCGGAGGCGAAGGCGGGCUUCUAUCCAUAGACUGACGCUGAGGCGCGAAAGCGUGGGGAGCAAAC
rnacentral:rRNA from 1 species